CAGCCACAUCCGGUCGGCCCUACUGACACCUCACUAAACUCCACCUCGCUGGAAAAAAAGAAAAAUGUUGAAAAAAAAAAAAAAACGUCACAAAAGGAGUGAAAAAGUUUAUCACUACAUGUAAUAGCAACACGUUCAGAUGCUGUAUUUUUUUGUGUGUUUUAUUUUCUGUCAUGUUUCACCUCGCUGUUAUUUUUGUGAUGGCUGCGUUAUUUCAUGAUCUGUUUUGGCUGUGUUUUAUUGGGUCAUUCGACGUCUUGUAACCUGAUCUUUCUGAGAAGAGAGGAGUUAAAUCUCCAGGUGACGCCUGUUUGAAGGUCAGGAGUUGUAAUAUGUACUGGAAAACUGUAUAUUUGUCAGUAGUUCAUACUGAAUUUUAACAUUUGGGAUUAAUACUAUUUCUUGAAAAUGUGUCACAAAGUGUAUAUCUUGGUAGGUUUUUAAACAUUGACUUGUUACACUAAUAAUGGUCAGACCACAACGGUCAUUAGUCACAGUUAUGUAAUAGGCCUUCAUGAGGUGUACAGUUUUGUAAGAUAUUGUAAAUAUGACUGGUUUCUGGGUGGGAGGGUUCUGCUAAUUUUUGUUUCUGGGAGGUGGGAGGCUUUUGGACAAAUUGCUUCUUUCAUCAAACCUUAUGUGUUGGAAAGCUUGGUUGUUACGUAUGAUAGUGUCACACGGAGGUCAAGAACAUUUCGGCUUGUCUGUCUAUGUUAGACCAGCCAUAUACUGUAUUUCUCUCCAGGCGUUUAUAAAUAAUGAUGUGUCAUGUGAGUCUUUUAUCAAAUUCAGAAGCUGCCUCAGAGUUGAAACCCUCUGAGUUGAGCAGGAGAGAGGCUGGAUCAACACUACUUACUACUUUUGAGGAGAUAAGGUGUGGAAAACACUCCUCUGUCAGGAGAGGAAAUAAAAACAUGCUAUUUUCUUACUUUUAUCAUAUUGUUGUUUUAACUGUGAUUUUCAAUAAGUGAUGAUUGUUUGUGAAGGGAAAUGAAGGAGGAGUAUGUAGGAGCAGUCGCACACGUUAGUGACGACUGAGUCCCUCUGCAGGUUGUGUUGAUGUUUGCGUGAGCUUGUCAUAUGGUUUUACACACAUUGGUU
ensembl:lncRNA